AUUUUCCAAUAAUGGAUGGACCAGGAAACGAACAGGGUCAACAGCCAAGAGGAGGAAGAAGAGGAGCAAGGAUGCGUGGUGGAAGGCAAAACAGAGGAAAAGGCAGAAGAGGACAUAGGCGCAUAUCUGAUAACAUAAGGGCUCUAUUGUAGACCAUGUUGUCAAUCAUGGCCUUACAAUGGCUGAGGCGGGUCGAAGGGUGCAGCCGAAUAUUGGGAGAUCAACCGUGUCCUCAAUAGUUCAAACGUUUUGAAGAGAGAACAGUAAAAUGUGUGUUCACAUAGUUUUUGUCUAUGUGAAAGUGUGCGAUGCAUCACUGCAUUUUUCCCCACAUAUGACUGCAAGAUUACCUCAAACCGGUGGCAGAGGAUGCCUUUUCACACCUCAACAGGAGAAGGCUAUUUGCACCAUGGUCCGAGUAAACAAUGCCAUGAGACUCAGGGAAAUACAAAGGACCAUUAUAGAAGACAGCGAUGUCUUUGAAAACAUCCAUACGGUUAGCAUCUCAACCAUCAACAGGGUGCUGCAUAGAAACCAGAUGAGUAUGAAACAGCUGUACCGUGUACCAUUCCAAAGGAAUGAGGACAGAGUUAAGGAGCUACGGUACCAGCAUGUACAGCGUAUAAUGGAGUUGGAAUCAAGUGAACCCUCUCACAACUUUGUAUACGUGGAUGAGGCUGGCUUCAACCUGACCAAAUGCAGAAGGCAGGGUCGGAAUAUCAUCGGUCACAGGGCUACUGUGGAUUUGCCAGGCCAACGGGGAGGAAAUAUCACCAUGUGUGCUGCUAUUUCGGAGCAUGGUGUCCUAACCCAUAUCCCCCUUAUAGGGCCAUACAACACCCAGCAUCUACUCAACUUUUUA
ensembl:lncRNA